CUCUGGCUUGACCCAGCCUCUCUAAAAUAGUAUAAAAACUGGACUUCUGGAGCCAAAGUGCCAUCACAUCCAAGAUCCCCAGUGUUGAAGGUGAGUGUUUCUACAUUUAAAGGCAGUUUAAAGCAGUAAAUGAUAACAAAGAGAAUAUAUAAAAAGUAAAUAUAUGUUUGCAUAAUUGUUCAUUUAAAAAAAAACAGUCACAACUGAAUCCAAAUGUAUUGUUUAUUGUCAUUCAUUAUUAUUUGCUCUUUAUUCAUUGUCAUUCAUUAGUCUUUUCUCUUUAAUACACACAUUCUACACUCUUUCUUUAAUAUAGGUAUAUCUGGCACAAUGAAGUUUUUACUUGUCACACUUGUUGUGCUGGCUAUCACUCAUGGUAUUUAUCCAGUAAAAUUUGACUCAAAUUAUUCAAAUAUACAUAUAUUCACACUAUGACAAGUGACCUAAUGACCAAGACCAAGCAUAUGUGUGGCUUCAUCAGGCACAGAGUCAUCGGACAAUGGUCCUGUCAAGAUGUCAGACUAUCUUGAGAUUGUCAACUCCUACAUCCCCAAAAGCACCACUGAUCUUGUCAACAUGCUGAAGUCUCUUGAAGAGACCAGCAGGGGUUACCUUGAGAGUGGAAAGGCAAAGGUGCAGCCACUGGCAGAGAAAAUUAAGGAACAGGUUCAGCUCCUGACCACCAAAGUUGAGGAGCAGGUCAAGCCCCUAGCAGAUUCUGUUCAGUCCCAGAUCAAACCCCUGACAGACUCCAUUAAGGAUUUAUUGAUGUUAAAGGUUCCUGCUUCAGCCCAGAAAAACAAAUGAUUUUAUUAUUUUUUUGAUUUGAUGAAACUGAUAUCACUCUGAUAGACUAUAACCAUGCAAUUUAUGAGUUUAGUUGUUUUCAGUUCUGGCAUUCGCCACACGCCUGCGGGUUCUUUUGUGUUUUUCCUCUUUUUUUCCCCCUGUUUUUGGCCCUCGUGCCAUUUUGUUUGUGUUUAAUAAAUCAUUGUUCACAGCAUGUCUCUGCGCUUCC
rnacentral:lncRNA from 1 species